rnacentral:snoRNA from 1 species
AAACUUGGAAAAAAGUUUUCUCACAUGUGUUAAGUUUUCUAAGGGGCCUACUUAUGCCACAUAUAUUAUAUAGAACCUGGCAGAGGCUUGAAGACAGAGAACUGUCUCAAGCCCUUCCUGCAUGAGAGAUUGGCUCCCACAUGU